ACACGUAGGAGACAAGCGUUAUCCGGAUUUAUUGGGCGUAAAGGGCAUGUAGGCGGGUUCUUAAGUCGGAUGUGAAAUCUCUUGGCUUAACCGAGAGGGGUCAUUCGAUACUGGGAGCCUUGAGGGCAGGAGAGGGAAGCAGAGUUCCCGGUGUAGUGAUGGAAUACGUAGAUAUCGGGAGGAAUACCAGUGGCGAAGGCGGCUUCCUGGCCUGUGCCUGACGCUGAUAUGCGAAAGCGUGGGUAGCAAACGGGAUUAGAUACCCCGGUAGUCCACGCCCUAAACGAUGGAUACUAGGUGUUGGUGGUCUUUACCCCACCAGUGCCGAAGCAAACGUGAUAAGUAUCCCGCCUGGGGACUACGGUCGCAAGACUAAA
rnacentral:rRNA from 1 species